rnacentral:lncRNA from 1 species
AAUCUCAAAAAUUAACAUAACAUUAAACAUUAUGAAACAAUCACAUCCAAAAAAUUGAAUUAAAAUUAAACUCAGAAAUAUUAACAACUCGGAUAACACAAAGACUUGAUUCGAAAAAUCACCGCAAUGUCGAAUCUUAUCACUUCAAUAUUUAUCGCAUCGCAUCCACGGAAUUCAUCUUGUACCAACGAGUUUGUUGUAGAGUUUCAAGGCUACACAACCGAAUUGUUAUUGCUGA